GGAAAGGUCUCUUUUGCAAAUUCUCCCCAAAGCAAAAGACAACUUAUGGCGACAUGCUACAUGCUACAUCCCUACAGGCUACGAUAACACAACUGAGAGAUUAGCACGGAUAUCACCAACCGAAAAUCCCCUUUGUCCCACAUCUCCCUUUCAUUGCUACUGCCCAACGUUUUGUCCACCCAACAAUUUGUGGAUGCAAAGAGAGAAAACACAGACAGGAUUGGACACCAGAGAAGUGCGCAUCACUAGACUCUUAUAUUUGUUGCAUGCAUCACAUAAGUUUCGUGAAAGAACAAGCGACAUGAAAGCUCCACAUCAUUUUCUACAAAUAUCAACAUCUUUGUUUCUUUUUGAAAGAUAAACAAAUUUUGUUGUGCUACUUCGUGUGUGUGGGGGUGUUGAACUUAUGUUGGAUGUUGUGCUCUGGCGUUUGCUUUAUCUAUAAAGCGGGGCGAAAGCAUUUUUCUAUCAUUAUAUUUUAGUUAUGGGAGUUUUGGCAUCAUGACGUUUGUGAAGAAAACUACAUGCAUUGCGUAAGUAUUUCUUUCAGUAACAUCGAAAGUUUUCUAAAAGUUAUAAGCUCAAGAACCGUGAAUGUAUGGAGUUACUUUGAAGCGGAUAGCCUGUUUUUUUUUUCUUAUAGGAGAACUAGAUGAAGAAAUACGGAAGAUUUAUAUGCAUUCAAGAGAGGAGAUGUUUCAGGACUACUCAGUUCAGUUAUUAGUUCCUUUUCUAAUUGCAGUGUAGCUGAUGGACGGGAAACCUAACUUUAUAGGGAAAUAAAGGAGAAUAUGCUGCACGUUCUUUGUAUCGUAGAGGGUAAGGUUAAUUUGGCGGUUCAAUUAGCACGGUCUCCUUGUCAGGACUA
rnacentral:lncRNA from 1 species